GCUCAAGUUCGGGAGGCGUUACCUGCGGAGGGUUUGAGGCAGGCCCAAGAGCGAGCCCAUGGUCUUCCGACGCGGGGCCAGGGGCGGGCCCCAGGAUCCGGAGCUUCGUGCGGGGCCGAGUCCAGGUUUGGGGCCCGGGAGGCGGGGCCAGUUAGGGCGACUGUCCCUGGGAUCGUCGGGUCAGGCCUUGGGCUAACGUAGGCACUCUCGCAGUUCCUCCGCCUUCAGGAAGGUCUUUUCAGCAGGGGCCUUACGGGUGCAUGCUUCGGUCCUGGAGGCCUUAUCCUAGCCUCCUCUCCAUCAGCGCCACCCGUCUGGGGCCCGAAAGGAGGGAGCUUUCCCUCUGUCCCCCAGCCUUUGGACUGUCACCAAACAAGCCAUUCGUUCAUCAAAUACUUUUUAAGCGCCUACCAUGUGCCUGACAAGGGAGAUGUAACGGUGAGAAAAACUAGGUGUGGUCCAGGCCCUUCAGGGGCUCAGGUGCUCGUGGAAGAAGUGGACAUUGAAGUACUUAUCACACAAAUGAGGAUAAAAGUACGAUAGCGAUAUCUACCACGAAGCUGUUGUUCCCCACCAGAACCAAAUGAGCGCAAGAUCUGACAAAGAAAAAAAAAGUCCCUGUAUCCUGAGAUGGAGUCACCUGAGAAUCCACAGCAAGUCCUAACCAGGGAUGGGUCUGGGUGAUUAAGGAAGGUUGGCUUCAGAACUGGGCCAGGGGCACUGCUUUGCUUUUGCUGUUUUGAUCAGCUCUCUGCCUGAAGGAGACAAGAAAAACCAACGGGAACAGACCAACAGGUAUUCUACCAUAUAAGAAAUGUGAUGUUCUCUGUACAUUGAAGAGUUGGUCUAAUAUUUGG
rnacentral:lncRNA from 1 species